AUUGAACGCUGGCGGCAGGCUUAACACAUGCAAGUCGAGCGAGCGGCGGACGGGUGAGUAAUGUCUGGGAAACUGCCUGCUGGAGGGGGAUAACUACUGGAAACGGUAGCUAAUACCGCAUACCAUCAGAUGUGCCCAGAUGGGAUUAGGUAGUAGGUGGGGUAAUGGCGCACCUAGGCGACGAUCCCUAGCUGGGCUGAGAGGAUGACCAUCCACACCGGAACGGAGACACGGGCCAGACUCCUACGGGAGGCAGCAGUGGGGAAUAUUGCACAAGGGGCGCAAGCCGGAUGCAGCCAUGCCGCGUGUGUGAAGAAGGCCUUCGGGUUGUAAAGCACUUUCAGCGAGGAGGCGUUACUCGCAGAAGAAGCACCGGCUAACUCCGUGCCAGCAGCCGCGGUAAUAC
rnacentral:rRNA from 1 species